UGGGGAAUUGUUCGCAAUGGGCGCAAGCCUGACGACGCAACGCCGCGUGGAGGAUGAAGAUUUUCGGAUCGUAAACUCCUGUCGAGUGGGAAGAACAGCUCCUGGAUAAAUAUUCCGGGAGCCUGACGGUACCACUAAAGGAAGCCCCGGCUAACUCCGUGCCAGCAGCCGCGGUAAUACGGGGGGGGCAAGCGUUGUUCGGAAUCACUGGGCGUAAAGGGCGUGUAGGCGGUCAGGUAAGUGAGACGUGAAAUGCCUCGGCUCACCCGAGGAGCGGCGUCUCAUACUGCUUGGCUUGAGUACGGGAGAGGAUGUGGGAAUUCCUGGUGUAGCGGUGAAAUGCGUAGAUAUCAGGAGGAACACCGGUGGCGAAGGCGCACAUCUGGCCCGAUACUGACGCUGAGGCGCGAAAGCUAGGGGAGCAAA
rnacentral:rRNA from 1 species